rnacentral:tRNA from 1 species
GGUCUCGUAGCUCAACUGAAUAGAGCAUCUGACUACGGAUCAGAAGGUUGCAGGUUUGAAUCCUGCCGGGAUCA